rnacentral:tRNA from 1 species
GUCCGGGUGGCGGAAUGGCAGACGCGCUAGCUUGAGGUGCUAGUGCCCGACUAAGGGCGUGGGGGUUCAAGUCCCCCUCCGGACACCA